rnacentral:rRNA from 1 species
GACGAACGCUGGCGGCACGCUUAACACAUGCAAGUCGAACGAGAGAAGAGAAGCUUGCUUUUCUGAUCUAGUGGCGGACGGGUGAGUAACACGUGAGCAAUCUGCCUUUCAGAGGGGGAUACCGAUUGGAAACGAUCGUUAAUACCGCAUAAUAUAAUUGAACCGCAUGAUUUGAUUAUCAAAGAUUUAUCGCUGAAAGAUGAGCUCGCGUCUGAUUAGCUAGUUGGUAAGGUAACGGCUUACCAAGGCGACGAUCAGUAGCCGGACUGAGAGGUUGAUCGGCCACAUUGGGACUGAGACACGGCCCAGACUCCUACGGGAGGCAGCAGUGGGGAAUAUUGCACAAUGGAGGAAACUCUGAUGCAGCGAUGCCGCGUGAGGGAAGAAGGUUUUAGGAUUGUAAUCCUCUGUCUUCAGGGACGAAAAAAGACGGUACCUGAGGAGGAAGCUCCGGCUAACUACGUGCCAGCCGCCGCAGUAAAAC